GACGAACGCUGGCGGCGUGCUUAACACAUGCAAGUCGAACGGUGAUGCUCCAGCUUGCUGGAGUGGAUCAGUGGCGAACGGGUGAGUAACACGUGAGCAACCUGCCCCAGACUCUGGAAUAAGCGCCGGAAACGGCGUCUAAUACUGGAUACGAAACUGGCCCGCAUGGGCAUGGUUUGGAAAGUUUUUCGGUUUGGGAUGGGCUCGCGGCCUAUCAGCUUGUUGGUGAGGUAAUGGCUCACCAAGGCGACGACGGGUAGCCGGCCUGAGAGGGCGACCGGCCACACUGGGACUGAGACACGGCCCAGACUCCUACGGGAGGCAGCAGUGGGGAAUAUUGCACAAUGGGCGAAAGCCUGAUGCAGCGACGCCGCGUGAGGGAUGACGGCCUUCGGGUUGUAAACCUCUUUCAGCAGGGAAGAAGCGAAAGUGACGGUACCUGCAGAAGAAGCACCGGCUAACUACGUG
rnacentral:rRNA from 1 species